UUGGUGUAGGGGGUAGGGUUAGGAGUAAAGUAAUUUUCCUCCAUCUGCCUGCCUGUCUCAGCCAGAAGUUGCCACCAUCAGUCCCCUCUUUGGAUUAUAGUUCUAGAAGUCUUUAGUAGAAAGCAGCUGUAUUAUUUAAGGGGUGGGGGGUCCAGGGGUGUCCAAGCUUUUGGUAUCUCUGGGCCAUACUAGAAGGAGAAGAGUUAUCUUGGGCCACACAUUAAAUACACAAACAGUAAUAAAAAUAAAAGAAUCUCAUAAUAUUUUAAGUAGCUUUACAAUUUUGUGUUGGGCUGCAUUCAUAGCCAUCCUGGGCUACAUAUAUGCAGCCUGUGGGCCGUGGAUUGGAUACCCCUGGUCAGGUGGUUAACGCCAAAAAGGAACUGAGUUCAGAUAGAAUAGAAUGACUAAGAGGCUGUUUUAUUGAAGUCAGACCUUAAUUUCAACUCUACAUUGUUAUUCUCUGCUGUGUGGUACUAGGAGGCUGACUCCUGUGGAUUGAGUGGCCCAGGCUCCCCUGCAGACUCGUUGACUAUUGCGGUCAAAAAUCCAAUGGAAGGAGGAUAUCAGAGGGAAGAGGCAGAGGAAGCAGAGAAGAGUAAUUGAGUGUGAAUAUCGCCUACUGCUCUUAAGCAAAUUAUGCCAAAGCUUCUGUGCCUCUUCUAAGAAACAUCUGCCAGAACAGAGGACAAUAGUCAUAUCUGCAAAUUCCCUGUUGUAUUAUUUUGCUAGGGCUGCCAUAAAAAAGUACUACAAAUGGGGUGGCCCAAACAACAGAAAUUAAUUUUCUCACAAUGCCAGAGGUUACAAGUUUGAAACCAAGGUGUCACAGGGUUGGUUUCUUCUGAGGCUUCUCUCCUCAGCUUGUAGAUGGCCACCUUCUCUCUGUGUCCCCACAUGGUCUUCCCUCUGUGCUCCUCUAUGUCCUAAUCACCUCUCCUUAUAAAUACGCCAGUUAUAUUGGAUUAGGUUCCUCUCUAAUGACUUCAUUUUACUUAAUUACCUCUUUAAAGAUUUCAUAUCCAAUUACAGUCACAUUCUGAGGUAUCGAGGGUUAGGAUUUCAGUAUAUGAAUUUUAGAGGUCACAGUUCAGCCCAUAACACCUCUCAUAGUUCAAAAGAUAUAUGUGUGUGCAUAUCUCUACAUAUUACAUAUAUUUGUGUGUCUGUAUGUAGGUAAACAAAAUAUACAUGUAUAUAAUAUUACAUGUUAUAGGUACAUGUAUAUAAUAUUACAUGUUAUAGACAUAUAUAUUUGUUUUCUUUUUUAAGUGAAAAAAUUGGGAGUGAAUGUUUUCUGGUCUCUUAAUUUCUUCUCUGAGCAAAACUAUUAAAUAAGUCAGAGAGCUCCCAAACUUGGAGCGAUAUCUGGUUCUCCCCAGGCCCAACCACAAGCCACAGGCUACUGUCUCUCCCAUAUACGCCAUUGCUAAGUGACUUCACUGAGUUUUGGGCUUGGAGACUAUUCAGACAGGUAAGGAAAAAAAAUUCCACCUUCAGGCUGAAGGCUGUGCAGACAAUAUCUGACCAAUAGUUGAUGUUAAACUAAUUAUGAAAUAAAGAGAGCGUGAAAUUCUGUGAUGAAACUCAGUCUCUGGGAAUCCUUCAAUUGUCACCUCAUUUUGAUCCAAAGAAUCGCAGUAUGCUCUUUCCCCAAAAGGAGGGAAUUCCUAAGUAUGGCAGGUCCUACAUCAGAGACACUUAGGUAAAAGUCCAUAAUCAUUACAAAGGGAAAGGUGGAAUACAUAAAAAGCAUCUAUCCACAGAAUGAUAUCUUGGAUGGUUUAG